UACGUAGGGUGCGAGCGUUGUCCGGAAUUAUUGGGCGUAAAGGGCUCGUAGGCGGUCUGUCGCGUCGAAAGUGAAAAACUCAGGGCUUAACCCCUGAGCCUGCUUCCGAUACGGGCAGACUAGAGGUAUGCAGGGGAGAACGGAAUUCCUGGUGUAGCGGUGAAAUGCGCAGAUAUCAGGAGGAACACCGGUGGCGAAGGCGGUUCUCUGGGCAUUACCUGACGCUGAGGAGCGAGAGUGUGGGGAGCGAACAGG
rnacentral:rRNA from 1 species